rnacentral:rRNA from 1 species
UGAAACCAUACGCUUACAACCGGUCGGAGCAGCUUCGUGCUGUGACGGCGUGCCUUUUGCAUAAUGAGCCUACGAGUUAGUCAUCACCAGCGAGGUUAAGUACUUCAGGUACGUAAGCCGAAGCGAAAGCGAGUCUGAAUAGGGCGUCAAGUUGGUGGUGGUAGACGCGAAACCUUAGUGAUCUACCCAUGGGCAGGGUGAAGGUUUGGUAACACAAACUGGAGGCCCGAACCGGUAAACGUUGAAAAGUUUUCGGAUGACCUGUGGGUAGGGGUGAAAGGCCAAUCAAACUGGGAAAUAGCUCGUACUCUCCGAAAUGCAUUUAGGUGCAGCCUCUGUAGUUUUGUUCUAGAGGUAGAGCUACUGAUUGGAUGCGAGGGCUUCACCGCCUAUCAAGUCCAGAUAAACUCCGAAUGCGCGAUAUAUAUUUACAGGGAGUGAGGGCGCGGGUGCUAAGGUCCGUGUCCGAGAGGAGAAGAAUCCAGACCACCGGCUAAGGCCCCCAAAUGAUCGUUAAGUUGAACUAACGAGGUCGGAUCGCAGAGACAGCUAGGAUGUUGGCUUGGAAGCAGCCAUUCAUUUAAAGAGUGCGUAACAGCUCACUAGUCGAGCGAUCUGGCGUGGAUAAUAAUCGGGCAUAAACGAUCUGCCGAAGCCGUGGAUGUCGCAAGACAUGGUAGGGGAGCAUUCCAUGCCGCGUCGAAGAUGAGGGAUGACCCUUGUUGGAGCGCAUGGAAAAGCAAAUGUAGGUAUGAGUAACGAUAAGGGGGGCGAGAAACCCCCCCGCCGAAAGACCAAGGUUUCCUGAUCAACGCUAAUCGGAUCAGGGUGAGUCGGGACCUAAGGCAAAGCCGAACGGCGCCGCCGAUGGAAGAAUGGGUUAAUAUUCCCAUACUGCCUCAUGGAGUGACGUGGAGACGGAGAAGUGACAGUCCUGCCGGCUGACGGAAUAGCCGGUUGAAGGGUGUAGAUAUUGAUUCCCGUAGGCAAAUCCGCGGGGAGAGUCGAACCUGAGAGUAUACGGAGCGCUUGCGCGACGUAAUAUGGACGUAACCAUGCUCCCGAGAAAAUCCGCUAAACUUAUCCAUGCGGCACCCGUACCGUAAACGGACACACGUGGUCGGGUUGAGAAUACUGAGGCGCUCGAGUGAUUCACGGUUAAGGAACUAGGCAAAUUGACCCUGUAACUUCGGGAUAAAGGGUCCUCGUCGUAAGGCGAGGCGCAGAGAAUAGGUCCAGGCAACUGUUUAACAAAAACACAUGGCUGUGCUAAAUGGAAACAUGAUGUAUACAGCCUGACACCUGCCCGGUGCCGGAAGGUUAAGAGGAGAUGUCAUCCGCGAGGAGAAGCGUUGAAUUGAAGCCCCGGUAAACGGCGGCCGUAACUAUAACGGUCCUAAGGUAGCGAAAUUCCUUGUCGGGU